rnacentral:lncRNA from 1 species
CUCGAUCAAGCUCUAACACCCAACCUUCAAACCCAUACCACAGCCACCCUCCACACCGUAGCGCAACCACCUAGAGCCCCCUUCCCCCUUGACCACCGCCUUCCAACCCCCAACCCAACAACCACCCCCCUUCCCCUCGCGAUUUCCCUUUGUUGUUGAGAGACCACCCCAGCCUGCAAUGAAUCAAGAACCCAGCUUGCCGACCAUUCUCUCUCCAUCCUACAGACUUUGCUGUCGCCGUCAGUUGGCGCUCUCUGGCGAGAUCUGCCAGUCUUCAUCUCUCUGUCUCUUCUCUCUGCAAAUUCAAAAACCAACAAAUUGGAAAAAGAUAUAAAUAUAUUUGAACAUUGUUUGCAUCUGUGGGUGGGUUUGAGGGUUUGUGGGUGAAAACAUAAUGUGGGAGGAAGGGAGGGCUUUGUGGGGUGGUCUCUCAACAAAAAAAGAAAAUACGGGGAAAGGAGGGAGAGGGUGGGGUGGUUGCUGGGUUGGGGUUCUAGGUUCGUUGGGGAGUUAAAGGGCAAUGGUCAUGGGGGAAAGGGGAGCUGGGUGGUUGCCCUGGGGUGCAGGUGGCUGUGGUAUGGGUUUGAGGGUUGGGUGUUGGAGCUUGAUCGGGAGAACGCAGAGAAAGAGAGAGAAUUUGGUGAAAUGCUCUCAUCUCUCUUCCAAAAAUUGAUCAUGACACCCACCCCAUCCUAGUCUUCCCAGCCAAACACCCCCAUCUACCCUAUCGCAUCCCACCCAAAUACCUUCAUCUACCCUAUCGCAACGCAUAGUCUCUUCCACGACCCAGCACACCGGCAACCAGCCUCCAUAGCCCUAACCACCCUCACCGAUCCAAAUCAACCAAGCAUUAACCAUCAAUGACCCAAAAAAAUAAUCACAUCAAUCAAAAAUACCCAGAUCUGAUCAAGCAACAAGACAUUGAAGUGAUCAUGCAGAUGUAGGCAAAUGUUGUUUUUCCAAUUGGAGGCCCAUCCAAAUAUAUGGCAGAGACGAGAGAGAGGUUUGCUGGGGAUGAGGGUGAGGGAGAUUGGUGUUUACGGUUGUCGACAAACAUUGGGGAAGAGAGAGGCUUGAUCGGGAGAGCGCAAAGAGAGAGAGAGAGAGAGAGAGAUCUGAAGUAAACCUUAACGGCGGAACCACAUUGUAACAAAUUUAAAAAACCGGG